UGCUUUUUAAUCUAUUCAGCGUUUCUAUUUAUGUGAUCAGUGAUAUAUUGCUAUGAAUGAACUUUACCGUGUAGAUGUAUUUUGGAUUGAAAGUGAAACCUGUGUUUUUUACAUUUGGUUGUGUAUGGGGGAAAAGGCAUGCUAUGCUGUUCUGUUUCCCUGGCGUUUGAUUUAGUGUUCGCAGUCCUGUCUUUGAUCAGGUUCUGUUUAAUCCUGCACAUUUUAAGCAGUAUGGUUUCAACACAUUUCCUCUGUCGGUCACUUUGGUCUGAUAGAUCUACAUUGCUAUUUUUGUAUUUCAUUAUGACGUAUUCUCUGUGACUAAGUUUUUUUGUUUUUUUUUUAAAUUGGUAUAGUUGAAAUCCUAUCUGAAGGUUUGUAGGUAGCAAGAUAUUGUGUUUGCUUGCGAUGAGCCUGUUUUCUUCUUUGGGAAUCUUAUUGAGCAUUUAAAAUGGUUACCAGCCUCCUUUUAAUUAGAUUACAUUUUUGUGUAUCUUGAAAUCGUUAUAUGUAUACACAAUAAUUUGUCAUGCUCGUCUAUAUUUAAGUCACUAACCUUUGUCCUUGUAAUAACCAAUCAUUGAUCUUGAUCCUCUUUCCUCCCCCUUGAAAGCCUAGAUCCUUUCAAAUCUCAGUGGAUCGUUGUGUAAGAAUUUAAGUCCAUAAGUGGUGAAAUGUUGACUGUAAUGAAUAUUUAAAAAAUAUUAUGUAGAUGAUUAAGUGUACCAUUUUCACAAAAAGAAGGUGGUAGAUUGUGUGUGUCUGACCACUUAUAAUAAAUUAUCUUAAAAAAUUAUUGAAGCAAUUAAGUAGUCCUAAUAGUCCACACGUAGUUUUUUUUUCUGGCCACAUUAAAGUUUUAUAAUUUAAAAAAAUAUAUAUCCUUCUACAGUAAAAUUGCUAGAUAGGUUAAUAAUAAUGUUUCCAAAAGCAAUAUGUGGAACUAAUUAUAAUAACCCUCACAAUCUCUUUUCAAAAAUCUGUUUAAUAAGGAAAUGUGGGGGAAAGGUGAGUUUAAGAUUGCGUUCAUAUUGAGAUACAAUUUAAAGAUUAGAAAACAACACAGCUUUGGAUUUUUACCUUUAUGGUUUCUUUACAUGUGAAUUUAUUUAAUAAAGAAAACAUUUUUUUCAUCAUUCUGGACAUUAUUAGCAAUACAAAGUGAAAUGUGAAUCGAUACACUAGUUUUUGCUAAGGAAAUAUAGUAGUGAUAAUGCAAUAAAUACAGGAUUUAAAAAUGGGUGAAAAGUCACAUCAGGGCCUACUCUGCAACUAAUAAGGUUCUAUAUUAAUCAUUUAAAUCUUAGAACAUUUAAUAACAUCAUAAGUUAUUUAUUUGCUGAACUAAUUUAGGGAUAUUUUGUGACAGGAAAAAUUAGACUCUAGUAUAGUCCAUAUUAUAUCAUAAAUUUUUAGGCACUAAAUAUAAAAUCAAAUUUACUCAAAUGUCUCUAGGGAGCCUCACUCUGUAUGUAAGUAUAAUGGCCUAAUAUUUUUUAGUCCUUGUCUGUGGCUUUUUUACUUGGUAAGACUAACUUUACCUAUUUCAGAUUCAUUGGUGAAAUUAUAUUUUAGUAUUUUCUUUAUCAGCAGUUAAUUUUAAUGUUGUAGAUUUUAGGUUAUGACUUAAAUGGGAAUUGGUGAAAAGCUGAGGCUGACAUGGGUUGAGUUUUAUGAAAUGUGUGUGACAGUAGAAGGAAGAACCUAAUCUAGAUUCUAGGUAUAUUUUAAAAAAUGUAUUUAGACCCAUUACUUUUCUACUGUCCAAUCCCCCAUCCCCUUAAGCACAUCUAGUCAUCUAAUGAAAAUAUAAUGGUAUAACAGAAGUGAGAAGUACUCUGAUUUCAGUGUUUAAAAUCAUUUGUUUUUUGUGUUGGAUUUUUAAAAACAUUUUAUCUUUCAGGCUCAGACCAAUACUAAUAAUUUGUAUUUUUAACAUAUUUUUCACCUUGGAUAUUCUAUUAUUCUUAGGAUACUUAAAAAGUUGGAAUCUACAUUGUACUUGAUUAUUGAGGUUAUAUGGGAAGCAUUGAUUAAGACAGUCACAGGAUUUUGAAUUGCUUAAAAAUAAGAAGGAGUGGGUAGUUUUGGGGUUUGGGUGGUGUGGAAGAAUGAUAUAACCACUAAAUAAGAUAUUCACUGAGCCUGUAUAGUAAUUUCUGGGUAGGACAGAAUAUUUAUAGGACAGUAGUUGAAAAUAAGAGUAAUGUGAUUAAAUAGAAGAUUUGUAGGAUCUAGAUCAGGUUUCCUCAAACUUCUCUGAAUAUAAGAAUCACAUGGUGCUUAAAAAUGCAGAUUCCUGUGACCAUACUCAGAUCUACCACAUCAGAAUUUACAGGUGAAAGGCCUGGCAAUCUUCACAUUAUGCAUUCUGAUGUAAUUCAUGUAAUAGUCAUGAAUUACAAAUUUAGGAAACACCAAUCUAGGCUUUUAAGUUUCUGUGGUGGCAUGUUUUGAUGUUGGCCAGAGUAAGACCUUGGGGUCUUAGUUUCCUCAGGUCUGUGAUCUCUAGGCUUCCAGUUUUGAUGUUCUGUGGUCUAUAAAGAUGCUGUGUGCUAGAUUGCAGAAGACUUUGUGUUUUGGUCUUUACCAUAAAGGGAAUAAAGAGCCUUUGGGAGUUUUAAAGUAGAGAGUAAUAAAAUAUAGUAAGUUUGAAAGACUGGUCUGGGGUGCUAUGUGAAAUAACUUGGAGAAGAACUCAGAACCGUUAGGAUGACUGUAUGUACCCAGAUUUAAGGCACAUAGUGCCCGAGCUUGGCUUGAAAUAGGAAUGAAAGGGAAGUGGCAGAUUUGAGAAAGAAGGAAUACUUAGCAUUUGACAUAGAUUUGUGGGACUAGGGUGAAGGAGGCGCUCAGAGGGCAACUGAAAUUUCAGUCACAGCAAAACAUUGGCAAUGCUAGGGCAUUAGUAUUUGUAGAAAUAGAACUCAGGUAGGUAGGAAUAAUGCCAAGCUUGGUUUUAGAAGCUUCAAAUAUGAAGUGAUGAUAGAAUAGCUCUUGAGAAGCUCAGAGAAAUGACAGAUUUAACGAUAAAAGAAUUAUUGGGAAUUGAAUACAAAGUGAGACAAGUGAGGAUAGCAGUACCAUUUAUCUGUGGGAAUACAUGCCAAGACCCCAUGGGUGCCUGAAGCUGAGGAUAGUACCAAGCCUAUGGAGUACUAUGUUUUUCCCUAUACAUACCUAUGGUAAAGUUUUACUUAUAAAUUAGGCACAGUAGGAGAUUAACAGCAGUAUCUAACAGUAUAAAACAAUUAAAACAAUAUACAGUAAUGAAAGUUAUGUAAAUAUGGUCACUCGUUUUAGGGGGUCUCUUGCUGAAGUCCUUGUAUAGGCUCAGUGCUUUCUGGCACACAACACAUUGCUGUCGGUCGGAACACGUGUGCUCUCCAUGUCUUCCACAGAAAUGCAAUGCCUUUUCUAUCAUAACUGAGCACUUACCACACACUGUGGUCAUAACUUUUGCAUGUGAGAUGUGACAGCAAAACUAGCCCAAAUUUAGUUUUCCCAUAAUUUCACAGACAGAAGAUUCAGUCUUAUUGAUCUUAGCAAUCUCAGCAUAUGAUGUUUUUUCUUAUUAAGUUGAGGAUGUUUUACUUUUUCACUUAAAGGAAGCACUUUACGGCCUCUCUUUGGCCCAUCUGCAUUGCCAGCACCACUACUCUUAUACUCUGGGGGUCAUUAUUAAGUAAUAGGAGGGUUACUUGAACUAAGAAUCCACAGUUGAUCUGGUAAGUAGGACGGCUAAAGUGACUGAAGGGCUGGAGGCAUAUGCAGCAUGGAUACGCUGGACAAAGGGGUGAUUCCUGCCCUGAGCAGGUGGGAGUGGAACAGCAUGAGGUUUCAUCACACUACUCAGAAUGGGGUUCAGUUUUAAACUUACUGCUUCUGUUUUGGAUUUUUCCAUUUAAUAUUUCCAUGCAACAUGGAUAAGACUGGACUGCUGUGUUUGCACAGAGAGAACUGAAGAUGAGUGAAGGAAAACCUAAAACCACCAUUGUGGGGAGGUGAAGCACCGGGAGAGAUCGGGAAGUUGUCAGGGCAGUGAAAGAAGCAGAAGCGUGGUAAGGGGGAGAGGAUUUCUAAGAAGGAAUGAGCAGUUAAAUACUGAGAAACUGUUUAACGUGGAGACUGAGAAAUGGUGCGGACUCUGUGGAAUUUCAGGAAUAUGUGCACCGCUGUCCAUUAAUAGUAGUAUUUUUUGAAUUUGGCAUUUAACGUGCUAUAGGUAUGACCUUUGAGGGAAGUUUCUGUAGGGUGGGGAUAGAAAUGUUUCUAGGAUUAGAAUUCAGUUUGUACCUUAAGAUAUGGUAGCUUUGAACCAUUUCUGGAACAUACGUCCCUGCACAGGUGGUUGUUGGGCUCCUUGGUUUUUGCUUUUGAUAAGCCACUUCCCAUUUCUUCUAAAGCUUAAGGUCACUGACUAUGUGGGUACAGUUGUACACAUACACCGACAUUCAGAUAGAGGAGCAGGGUCUUGCUGCUUGAAAUAAAUGCCUUCCUACCCCCUGGGAAUGCCCCCUACCCCAAAAAGAAAUGCCAGAGAAGGGAACUUUGAUGUUAACCAAUUGAGAGACCUGUUGAUUAGAGAAAAACCCUCUACUUCCCAAUCUAAACUUGAAGCCCAUUGUUUAGGCAUUCAUCUCUUCACACAGAGUGGUUUUGAGUUGGGAGGGCAAUAUGGUACAUUUUGUUCUGUAUUCAUCAUCCCUCCCCAACCCCCCCAUAACUGGGGGAAAUUCCUUUCAUUUAAAAGAUAUUCCACAUUGUUUUAAUGCUGUAGUAUUCUAAGUGUGUACUACUAAUCCCAUACAGUUAAAUAUUCAUGUUAUUCCUGAAGUUUGGGGCAAGUGUGAACUAUACAAAAAUGAGUAUAAUUGAAUCUAAAUCUUGGUUUUUAUCCAUGAUUUCUAAAUUGCUGGGUUAUAAUACUUAGGCAUUUGUUGCAAAACUACCCUCCAGCAAGACUGUACAAAUUAUUUUGAGCAAUCUAAUGGAGCGUCUGUCCUGAAACCCUGGCCAAGAUUAAAUACUACGAUAACUAUGCCUUUCUGAUGAUCUUAACUCUUUCCGAGAGAGCUGUUUUGUCAGUUUUUAAGUGUAUUACUUGAUGAUAAUCAGGUUUGCAUUUAAAAAGUAAAUUUGCACAUGUUUUUUCCUAUAUGGAUAAGCAGUGAGAGCACUGGUCUGGGUACUCUAUUUUUUCAUGAGGACUCCCAACUAGUUUUUCCACUAAAUCCCACGUCAUAACGUAGUUAAUGUUCCAAGAGUGUUCCUCUAAUUGUAGCACUUAAAGGACUUUCUUUACUUUUCAAUUAAAGCUUAUACAAUCUACCUUGAACUUUUAUAAGGCAUUCCAUGUUCUAGUCCAGGCAUGUCAAACUCAAAGGCUAACAUGGGCCAAAUA